rnacentral:rRNA from 1 species
AUUGAACGCUGGCGGCAUGCCUUACACAUGCAAGUCGAACGGCAGCACGGGUGCUUGCACCUGGUGGCGAGUGGCGAACGGGUGAGUAAUACAUCGGAACAUGUCCUGUAGUGGGGGAUAGCCCGGCGAAAGCCGGAUUAAUACCGCAUACGAUCUACGGAUGAAAGCGGGGGACCUUCGGGCCUCGCGCUAUAGGGUUGGCCGAUGGCUGAUUAGCUAGUUGGUGGGGUAAAGGCCUACCAAGGCGACGAUCAGUAGCUGGUCUGAGAGGACGACCAGCCACACUGGGACUGAGACACGGCCCAGACUCCUACGGGAGGCAGCAGUGGGGAAUUUUUGGACAAUGGGCGAAAGCCUGAUCCAGCAAUGCCGCGUGUGUGAAGAAGGCCUUCGGGUUGUAAAGCACUUUUUUGUCCGGAAAGGAAAUCCUUGGCUCUAAUACAGUCGGGGAUGACGGUACCGGAAGAAUAAGCACCGGCUAACUACGUGCC